rnacentral:rRNA from 1 species
AGCUCCAAUAGCGUAUAUUAAAGUUGUUGCAGUUAAAAAGCUCGUAGUUGGAUUUCUGGGUCGGAAGGCUGGCCUCGCCCGCAAGGGCGCUGCGCCGUGCUUUGUCGGCUCAUCCUCGGGUGGGUCCGUUCUGGCAUUAGGUUGUCGGGGCGGGGAAGCCCGUCUUUUACUGUGAAAAAAUUAGAGUGUUCAAAGCAGGCUUAUGCCGUUGGAUACAUUAGCAUGGAAUAAUGAGAUAGGACCGUGGUGUUUUAUUUUGUUGGUUUGCACGCCAAGGUAAUGAUUAACAGGGACAGUUGGGGGUAUUCGUAUUCAAUUGUCAGAGGUGAAAUUCUUGGAUUUAUGGAAGACGAACUACUGCGAAAGCAUUUACCAAGGAUGUUUUCA